GCCGCCUAAUAUAAUCAUAGAAAUAUUUAAAAUUUUGUACUAACGUAUUUUUAUAUUUUUUUAAUAUUAUUUUUGUGUGUGUUUUUUUUUUUAACAAAUUAUCUCAUGUAAAAAAAAAAUCCUAAAAUGAAAUUAUAAUAUCUUUCUUUACAAAAAUAAAAUUAUAAUUUCUUUAUUCUCCAUAUCCCAUCGUCUCCGCCACUACGGUAACCCUUCUCACCUCACAAGAUCAACUCCUUCGUCUCUUCCCUGUCCUCGCCGCCGCCGCCGCCGUUGUGGAUGCUCUAAUCUCGACACUGUAACUGCUGACCUACUCACCUCUCAUCUUGUCUUCUUUCCAUCAACCUUAAGCAUAUAAUGGAGGUUCAAGUCAAAGAUACAGUUCUAACACCUACACCUCUGGUUAAGGUUUCAUUCUCACUUGGCUCAGAAACAUAUUCUGCCAAUGCAAAUAAUGGAACCCUUUCUGAGCAACUGGUUUCAUUGAAAGAGGCAAGCAUGAGCAUACUGAAAGAAUACAUCACCAAACAUAAUGUUCCCAAUGAUGUCCCCGACGAACCGCUUGACGGGAGUUCAUCGGAAAAUGAUGAUGUGCUUGAGAAGCUGCCAGUCAAGUCUAAGAAAACAAAGAUAAAUUGAUGCCACCAUUUUCUUUUCUUUUUUUUUUUUUAAUGAAAAGCUUAUUUCUAGUGUUGGAUUAUGACUGCUUGAAGUUGCGACAAUAUUUUGGCAUAGGUGUUGUGAAAGUUAAGUGUAGUUGGACCUAAUAAUUCUUGUGUUGUUGUAUUUUUGUAGUAACAAUUAAUUUCUUUAGUCAUUGUUGUUGGUUUAGUUUUUCUGAGAUGAAUGGCCAUGAAAAGAAAAACAGAAAAUAAUAUGAAUAGAUGAAUCUCUUAUUACA